GGUCCCUUUCUACCGCAGGCGUCGAGUUUUGAAGGGGAGUCGUUUUUAGUACGAGAGGACCAAAACGAGUUAACCUCUGGUGUACCAGUUGUCGCGCCAGCGGCAUCGCUGGGUAGCUAUGUUAAUACGGGAUAAACACUGAAAGCAUAUUAAGUGUGAAGCCCCCCCCAAGAUUAGAACUCAUAGAUUCCCCGAAAGAUGACGGGGUUGAUAGGCUCCAGGUGUAAGUGGGGUAACCCAUUGAGCCGAGGAGUACUAAUAAAUCAUA
rnacentral:rRNA from 2 species